AGUGAACGCUGGCGGUAGGCCUAACACAUGCAAGUCGAACGGCAGCACAGUAAGAGCUUGCUCUUACGGGUGGCGAGUGGCGGACGGGUGAGGAAUACAUCGGAAUCUACUUUUUCGUGGGGGAUAACGUAGGGAAACUUACGCUAAUACCGCAUACGACCUACGGGUGAAAGCAGGGGAUCUUCGGACCUUGCGCGAUUGAAUGAGCCGAUGUCGGAUUAGCUAGUUGGCGGGGUAAAGGCCCACCAAGGCGACGAUCCGUAGCUGGUCUGAGAGGAUGAUCAGCCACACUGGAACUGAGACACGGUCCAGACUCCUACGGGAGGCAGCAGUGGGGAAUAUUGGACAAUGGGCGCAAGCCUGAUCCAGCCAUACCGCGUGGGUGAAGAAGGCCUUCGGGUUGUAAAACCCUUUUGUUGGGAAAGAAAAGCAGCAGGUUAAUACCCCGCUGUUCUGACGGUACCCAAAGAAUAAGCGCCGGCUAACUUCGUG
rnacentral:rRNA from 1 species